GGAGGGAGGGAGAGGACCUCACCAUCACCUGCACUGUGUCCCACUGGAAUGAACAGGUUCUCUUCUUCAUCAACGGCGAGGCAGCGGACCCGGAGACCUCACCGCGCUACAGCCUGCACCGCCAGCCAAGUCCCGACGAGGAGGCGGUGGCUCACGUCCUGACGGUGCACGACGCCCAGCUGGAGGACGCGGGCGUGGCCGAGUGCUUUAUCAGCCUGGACGAGUUCGGGUCCGCCUCGUCGAGGUGGCAGAGGCAGAGUCAGCGCCGCCCACCCGCCGCCCCACCGCUGACCUAGGCUUCGACGAACCCACGCUGCCCCGGGAAGGAUCAUUGACCUCGUGGGACCUGCUCUGGCGGAGGCGGGUCGACACUGACCCUCACCUGCCUCAUCAGCCCCGUCAUGCAAGGGGAAGUGGUGCUGUCUCACGACGUCUUCCUUCUGCAAGUGGGUUUCCUCCGAGUCACCAGAGACAGGCGGAUUGACGUCGUGUCGGGAACCAGCGCCGACGGGACCAGGCUCGUCUUCCUCAACAUCGCGCAGGUGCUGCCCGAGGACAGCGGCGAGUACAGGUGCGCCACGUCCACCGACCCGCCCGCUACCGCCUCCUGGAUCGUCACGGUGGUUCCGGCCGGCGAGCUCCCAG
rnacentral:lncRNA from 1 species